UAUUCAUGGGUUGUCACUGUUUAGCUGCCACUAAUAAAGGAGAACAUGUGGUAUUUGGCUUUCUGUUCCUGUUAGUUUCCUAAGGAUAAUGCCCUCCAG